AUGCAGAGUGCUCUGUGAGUCACCGUUAAUUUCAGAUGGGGUAAGGUGAAGAGACUUUCCUUGGGAGCCCAGAGGAGUACAGGAUCUGAUCCCAAGCCCUUUACCAUCAGGCCACAUGACACAGCACCUGUGAGUGAGGCUGAACAAGAGAAAUGAGAUUUGACGGAUGUUUCCUGAAGUCCUACUGUGUGCCAGCUGUGGCCGUGUUAGCUACCAGGAAAUGAAGAUGAAUAAGGAGAUCACAAGUGAAAACAGAAAUGCCAAGAUAAACUUGGCCCAGGUUCCCUUGGGAAUUCUCAGGAUCCUACCUGGUGCAGCAGAUCACACUGGGGAGAUGUUACUGAAUCUUUGAUGAGUGGAGCAUCCACAGAGGAAGGAAGUGAGUGUUUGUUAAUGACAUCAUUCCUCACUUAUGUUGGCGAGUAUGAAUAUAGAAGAGAUGGCUGGAGAGUUUAUUCAAAGUUGGAUAUUUGGAGGAAGAGCAUGCCUGAUGUUCCUACCAAAAAAAAUUAGAUCCUAUGGACCAAGAUACAUAAUAAGAUAGAUGUAGAUAUGUAAUGGGUUUCCUUUUUGUUUUUUUAUUUUUUUGGGA